rnacentral:rRNA from 1 species
GACGAACGCUGGCGGCGUGCUUAACACAUGCAAGUCGAACGGUGAAGCUCCAGCUUGCUGGAGUGGCUCAGUGGCGAACGGGUGCGUAACACGUCAGCAACCUGCCCCUGACUCUGCUAUAAGCGCUGGAAACGGCGUCUAAUACUGGAUACGAGAAGGGUCCGCAUGUGCACUUUCUGUAAAGUUUUUCGGUUGGGGAUGGGCUCGCGGCCUAUCAGCUUGUUGGUGAGGUAAUGGCUCACCAAGGCGACGACUGGUAGCCGGCCUGAGAGGGCGACCGGCCAGACUGGGACUGAGACACGGCCCAGACUCCUACGGGAGGCAGCAGUGGGGAAUAUUGCACAAUGGGCGAAAGCCUGAUGCAGCGACGCCGCGUGAGGGAUGACGGCCUUCGGGUUGUAAACCUCUUUCAGCAGGGAAGAAGCGAAAGUGACGGUACCUGCAGAAGAAGCACCGGCUAACUACGUG